GCAAGGGGCCCCCAGGCCGGGCCCGCGGCCUUCAGUGCUCUGUCGCCCGGGCAACUGAUAAACCAGCAUUCCUCCCACCUGACCCCGCGCCGGCGACGGUGGCGGCUGCGCUCCCGCGUCCCGCUCCGGCCCUGCAGCCUGGGGACGUGUCCUCACCGUCCGGCAGCGGCCAGGCUCAUCCAGGCGCUUUCUAAGCGCGGCCCCCGGGGUAACCGGAGGCAAGUCCCACGCACCCCCACGCGGGGCCACCUUCCUCUGCAAGGCCCGCGACGGCGGGGAGCGCGCUGUCUUCCCGCUCUCCUCUCCGCGGCCUUCCACCCGCUUGGAAGUGUCGCCGCGUCUCCACCCCACCCGGUUCGCGCAGCGCCGUCGGGGCGUCCCGGGCGCUCCAGCACCGCAGGCAGGGCGGGUCCACGCGGGUCCCGAGACUUCCGUAGCCGCCCCCCAAAAUCGCCCUGCCGCUUAAAAGUGGCGGACGUGAGGUUCUGCGCAAAUCUGGGGACCCAGACGUUCCCGCAGCAACCAGAACCCCAGGGGCCGCGGGAAGAAGCCAGGGGCCCCUCCCCUCCCGCAGCGGGCGGGGGACACCCCCGGGCGAGGGUCCCGCCACCCCUGACCCAUAAGGGUGACUUCCUUGCAGAAAUACACCCUCCCCCCCCCCGCACGUGUCCUCUUCCCCGCGCUUCCCGAGACACUUCCCGUCGCCCAUUCCCCUGGGUGCCUCGCCCCCGCCCUGGCAACCCUCCCUGCGUUUCCUUUGUCCCCGCCACACCCCUGCCCCGAGCUUCCAGAGUCCUCUCCAAGGAUAUCCCACCACCACUCCCCCCCCCCCCAACCCCCGCGCCGCGCCUCUUCGGGACCUUUUCUGGUCCCUUCCCCCUCUCCGCCUUCCCUGUCCCCUCCCCGAGCCUCUCCCGCGCCCUCCCCGCCCCCUCCUCGGUUUCCCCUGUCCCCUCCCGCCCCGCCCCCGUUUUUAAACCUGGCGCCGAGCGCCCUGGUAGGUGA
rnacentral:lncRNA from 1 species